rnacentral:rRNA from 1 species
GUGAGGAAUAUUGGUCAAUGGGCGAGAGCCUGAACCAGCCAAGUCGCGUGAAGGAAGAAGGAUCUAUGGUUCGUAAACUUCUUUUGCAGGGGAAUAAAGUGCAGGACGUGUCCUGUUUUGUAUGUACCCUGAGAAUAAGGAUCGGCUAACUCCGUGCCAGCAGCCGCGGUAAUACGGAGGAUCCGAGCGUUAUCCGGAUUUAUUGGGUUUAAAGGGUGCGUAGGUGGUUUGAUAAGUCAGCGGUGAAAGUUUGCAGCUUAACUGUAAAAAUGCAGUUGAAACUGUCGGACUUGAGUGUAAAUGAGGUAGGCGGAAUGCGUGGUGUAGCGGUGAAAUGCAUAGAUAUCACGCAGAACUCCGAUUGCGAAGGCAGCUUACUAAGCUACAACUGACACUGAAGCACGAAAGCGUGGGGAUCAAACAGGAUUAGAAACCCCUGUAGUCC